rnacentral:rRNA from 1 species
ACGUAGGGUGCGAGCGUUAAUCGGAAUUACUGGGCGUAAAGCGUGCGCAGGCGGUUGCAUAAGACAGGCGUGAAAUCCCCGAGCUUAACUUGGGAAUUGCGUUUGUGACUGUGUAACUGGAGUGCGGCAGAGGGGGAUGGAAUUCCGCGUGUAGCAGUGAAAUGCGUAGAUAUGCGGAGGAACACCGAUGGCGAAGGCAAUCCCCUGGGCCUGCACUGACGCUCAUGCACGAAAGCGUGGGGAGCAAACAGG